rnacentral:rRNA from 1 species
UCCUACGGGGGGCAGCAGUGAGGAAUAUUGGUCAAUGGGCGGGAGCCUGAACCAGCCAAGCCGCGUGAGGGAAGAAGGUACAGCGUAUCGUAAACCUCUUUUGUCAGGGAACAAAGGCGGGGACUAGUCCCCGGAUGAGGGUACCUGAAGAAAAAGCAUCGGCUAACUCCGUGCCAGCAGCCGCGGUAAUACGGAGGAUGCGAGCGUUAUCCGGAUUUACUGGGUGUAAAGGGAGCGUAGACGGCAGCGCAAGUCUGGAGUGAAAUGCCGGGGCCCAACCCCGGAACUGCUCUGGAAACUGUGAA